AUCCUUCUGUGGGUCAUAAAUGCAAGGAUUGGGUUUCACUGUUGCAUGAAAUAUGCCUCCCUUGAACCUUGUUAAAAUAUUGGCACAGUACUGGUCUGACC
ensembl:snoRNA